ensembl:lncRNA
GUUUGAACUGAGUGUUCGACGGUUAAUCUUGCGCUGCUUCACUUUCUUCAUUUGUUUCCACAUCUGCAGCUGCUGGAUCCUCCAGAAAUGUUGCUGCAGAGUCAGAGAUGUGCUGCUGAAAAGUCACGUACAUCACUGGUAAGGUUUACGAUGAGCAAUUACUUGCAUCGGAAAGCAGAUAAGUGUCGUAGGGGAAAAGUACAGUAUUUCACUGCAGCAGUGGUUUUCAGUUUUGAGAGAACUAAGUGUUGUGCAGUACAAGUAAGAGUUGCAGAGUAUAUGUAAGAGUAAUAAAGUACAGGUAAGUGUUGUAUAGUAAAGGUAAGUGUUGUGUAGUACAGGUAAGAGAUGUAGAAUAUAUGUAAGAGUAAUAUAGUACAGGUUAGUGUUGUAUAGUAAAGGUAAGUGUUGUGUAGUACAGGUAAGAGAUGUAGAGUAUAAGAGUAAUAUAGUACAGGUUAGUGUUGUAUAGUAUAUGUAAGUGUUGUAUAGUAUAGGCACAUGUUGUAGAGUAUAUGUAGUUGUGCAGGCAGGUGGCCUCAAUAGCCAUUUAAAUUAGCUAAACCAAGCUAAAGGACAAAUUUGGCGAGCACUGAACCAUAGCUUUCUCAAUAUAAGGCCAUUAGUCAUAUAAGAGGCUUAAGGUUCGGCCCUGAGGUACCAGACUUGGCCAUGGCUUCUGAGAUACCUGUGGUGGCUGUCACUUCCAGGAGUCCCUGUAACAGCCUAUGCUCGCUGAGGUCCAUGUCAAGGCCAUUGCCUCCCUGAGGUCCCUGUCUUAGCCAACACUCCCUAAGGUCCCUGUGAUGGCCAAUGCCGCUUGAGGUCUCCCCUGUCAUGACCACAGCUUCCUGAGGUCCCUGUCACAGGCUGAGCGCCUAAGGUCCCUUUCAUUACCGCCAUCCAAAUAUGCCAACUUACUUGGCUGCUGACAAUAUAGUGCUGGCAAAGUGUUCCUGAGUCCAGUUAUCUGUCCUUGAGCCUCUGCUAGAAAACAUAGUACAAGAGCCACAACCCAGGUCCUCCUCAGCGCCACAGCCCAGACAUCCCUCAGUACUGCGGCUGCAGUACAGGCACCCGUCAGCGCUGCUGCGUCAGUCCAGGCACCCCUCAGCGCCGCGGCCACAGGUACCCCUCAGUGCACAGGUAAAGCCCAAGCAGCCCUAAGUUCAGCUGGCACAUCCCAGGCCCCUUCAGUGCCAUGCAUGACCACGGGACCAUCUCAGUGUCAUAUUCAGGCCAGUUGCUAAGGGGGGUUGUAGAGUACAGGUACGGGUUUUGGAGUGCAGGUAAGAGUUGUAGACUAAAGGUAAGAGUUGUAGACUAAAGGUAAGAGUUCAGGUAGGUCCUGUGAAAUACAGGUAAGAGUUGUAGACUAAAGGUAAGAGUUGUAGACUAAAGUUAACAGGUGCAGACUAAAGUUAAGAGUUGUAGACUAAAGCUAACGGUAAGAGCUGUACAAUAAAGGGAAGAGUACAGCUUAGUCCUGUCGAAUAUAGGUAAGAGUUAUAGAAAAAAGUUAAGACUUAUAGACUUAAGGUAAGAUUUGUAGACUAAAGGUAAGGGUUGUUGAAUACAGGUAAGAUUUGUAAAGUACAGGUAAGAGUUGUUGAAAACAGGUAAGUCCUGUAAAAUACAGGUAAGAGUUGUUCUCAAUAGCCAUUUUAGAAUUGGGCGGUUAUUUUGUUAAUUAUCAUCUAACCAUAAAUAUUAUAAAUCAAUUAGGCAGUAUUUUUAUAUUUGCCGACCAGAGGAGGAUGGGUCCCCCCUGAUGAGUCUUGGUUCCUCCCAAGGUUUCUGCCUACAUUUAAUUCUGUAGGGAGUUUUUCCUUGUCACUGUUGCCGUUGGCUUGCUCACUGGGGGUUUAAGGCGCUGUAAUACUGCCUUGAGGUUCCUGUAAUAUGGGCGUCUUUGAGGAGCCUCUGUUAAGUCCAACGCCCUCUUGAGGUCCCAUUCAUAACCAGUAAUAUUAUUGCCUAUAAUAUUAUUAUCUACAGUCAUAUUUAAUGUGUUGUGAAUGCAGUCUAAUUUGAAUGUAACUUUGUAGAAUGUAACUCUAGUUUGAAUGUAUUAUGAAGUAAUGGCAAAAAAAAAAAAAAAAAAAUAUAUUGUCUUGCAGUAGUCAGUAGUUUCCUUCUCUAGCAAAUAAGUAGGUCAGGUUAUUAAAUCAUUCAAAAAAACAAAACAAAAAAAAACUUAGGAUUUAGUAGUUUAGAACAGUCUGAUGAAUCUUUAAUCAACUAGUUAAUCACAAUUACUUAACCUUAGUAUAACAAAAUAACAUACACAGUGCGACCUAUGUCCGAUUCAAAAGCAAUCAACUACUUCAAAAACAUACAGAUCAGUGUAGCUCGAAUCACAUGCAAAUGACUCUUAUGAUUUGACUAUUUCAAUUAAUCAGUAAACACACACACACACACACACACACAAUCAGAGUUACCAGUGUAAAACAGUCUGAUGAAUCCUUCACUUAAUGAAGUUAGUUAAUCACAAUAACUUAAACUGGCUAUAAUGUAAUAACAUAUAGAGCAUGAGCAGUGUCCGAUUCACGAGCAAAUGGCUCUAAUGAUCUGGUUAUUUUAAUGACCACAUUGAGCAGCAAUGUCAGAGCCACAGCCUGAGAGCCUCAUGGUCACAGUACAGGUCCAGCUCCGCUCUACAACCAUGUCCUGGUCCACCGCAUUGCCGUAUCCAUGAUCAUAUUAUAGCAAUAAAACAAACCAUUGAAAAUAAACAAUGUAAAUAUAUUUUUUAAUAAAAAGUUAUUCUUCCACA